rnacentral:tRNA from 1 species
GGGGAUGUAGCUCAGUGGUACAGUGUAUGCUUUGAAAGCACAAGGCCCUGGAAUAAAUCCCCAGCACCA